GAAUGCUGACAUAAGUAACGAUAAAGCGGGUGAAAAGCCCGCUCGCCGGAAGACCAAGGGUUCCUGUCCAACGUUAAUCGGGGCAGGGUGAGUCGACCCCUAAGGCGAGGCCGAAAGGCGUAGUCGAUGGGAAACGGGUUAAUAUUCCCGUACUUGGUGUUACUGCGAAGGGGGGACGGAGAAGGCUAUGUUGGCCGGGCGACGGUUGUCCCGGUUUAAGCGUGUAGGUGUGUGUUCCAGGUAAAUCCGGUUCACUUUAACACUGAGGCGUGAUGACGAGGCACUACGGUGCUGAAGCAACAAAUGCCCUGCUUCCAGGAAAAGCCUCUAAGCAUCAGGUAACAUCAAAUCGUACCCCAAACCGACACAGGUGGUCAGGUAGAGAAUACCAAGGCGCUUGAGAGAACUCGGGUGAAGGAACUAGGCAAAAUGGUGCCGUAACUUCGGGAGAAGGCACGCUGACACGUAGGUGAAGUGAUUUACUCACGGAGCUGAAGUCAGUCGAAGAUACCAGCUGGCUGCAACUGUUUAUUAAAAACACAGCACUGUGCAAACACGAAAGUGGACGUAUACGGUGUGACGCCUGCCCGGUGCCGGAAGGUUAAUUGAUGGGGUCAGCGCAAGCGAAGCUCCUGAUCGAAGCCCCGGUAAACGGCGGCCGUAACUAUAACGGUCCUAAGGUAGCGAAAUUCCUUGUCGGGUAAGUUCCGACCUGCACGAAUGGCGUAAUGAUGGCCAGGCUGUCUCCACCCGAGACUCAGUGAAAUUGAACUCGCUGUGAAGAUGCAGUGUACCCGCGGCAAGACGGAAAGACCCCGUGAACCUUUACUAUAGCUUGACACUGAACAUUGAGCCUUGAUGUGUAGGAUAGGUGGGAGGCUUUGAAGUGUGGACGCCAGUCUGCAUGGAGCCGACCUUGAAAUACCACCCUUUAAUGUUUGAUGUUCUAACGUGGACCCGUAAUCCGGGUUGCGGACAGUGUCUGGUGGGUAGUUUGACUGGGGCGGUCUCCUCCUAAAGAGUAACGGAGGAGCACGAAGGUUGGCUAAUCCUGGUCGGACAUCAGGAGGUUAGUGCAAUGGCAUAAGCCAGCUUGACUGCGAGCGUGACGGCGCGAGCAGGUGCGAAAGCAGGUCAUAGUGAUCCGGUGGUUCUGAAUGGAAGGGCCAUCGCUCAACGGAUAAAAGGUACUCCGGGGAUAACAGGCUGAUACCGCCCAAGAGUUCAUAUCGACGGCGGUGUUUGGCACCUCGAUGUCGGCUCAUCACAUCCUGGGGCUGAAGUAGGUCCCAAGGGUAUGGCUGUUCGCCAUUUAAAGUGGUACGCGAGCUGGGUUUAGAACGUCGUGAGACAGUUCGGUCCCUAUCUGCCGUGGGCGCUGGAGAACUGAGGGGGGCUGCUCCUAGUACGAGAGGACCGGAGUGGACGCAUCACUGGUGUU
rnacentral:rRNA from 2 species